CUAAUUUCAUCAUUACACAAUUAAAUAACUAUAAAAAAUCAGAUAAUUUUCUAUCUUUCAUCUAAAAGCUGAAAAGGAAUGCAGCCAAUCAGCCAUAGUGCUAGAGGUGUGAUCUUCUUCCCUUGUCCGUAGUCCGUACCACGACCAGCCGGAUGGAGAAACACAUGUGCUGCUGACUCGGUGAUAUUUUUUUUAGACAAUGAGCUGACUCGAUCAGUGAUGAUUUUGUAAGGUUUAUCCUAAAGUCUGCUGCCUCGUGGUUUCAGAUUACUUGAGAGUUCAGACACUGGCACUUUCACCCAACAAAUCACACAUUCAUAUGUGAAGGCGACCGGCUGAAGAAAAUGUGUGGCUCAACAAUGUCGUCAGGCCAUGACGUACGUUGCCCAAUGAAAAGGUUGGGCAAAUUGCCCUGGUAGGGAGGGAAUCGCUUCAGCCAACUACCAGGAAAGAGCACAGAUCAUCGUCAGAAGCUGACACGUUGACUUUUGGAAGUUUGUACAAUGACUGGACCUCACACAAGACUAUUAGGGCAUACACAGUGCGAGAAGCCUCACCAAGGAGCCUCCGACAAAAAAGAGAUGGCACGUAGGACAAAGCCGCAGAUAGGAUACAUGCUUCACAAUGCACACGCUGCUUUACGUAGACCCCACUAAAACUUUUACAUUUACUUUUUCUCUGUUCCCAGCUGUCUCCUCUCCAUCUCUCUCCCUCGUUCUCUCUCUCCCUCCUCUCUCUGCUCUCUCUCGGCCACAUGCGGCGGCGGGGGCCCGUCCGUCGGCCCCGGCAGGCGGCGGAGCUUGGCGCCUGCGCGUCCCACGGCAGAUCUGAUGGCGAGGGGCGGGCGACGUCGGCGACGGGUUGGCCUCGACGGCCGACGGAUCUGGGUGGCGACGCACGCGUCGGGGCGAAGCUCGCCGGCCACCCCGUC
rnacentral:lncRNA from 1 species